rnacentral:tRNA from 1 species
UAGGGGUUAGCCAAAAAGGCAAGGCAUUAAGUUUUGGUCUUAAAAUUGUGGGUUCGAGCCCUGCACCCCUAG